AAAAAAAGAACGAGAGAAAAAAAAAAAAAAAAAAAAAAAAAAAAAAAAAAAAAAAAGAUGAGAGAGAAAAGGGAACAAAGGUAUUUGGUCAGUUUUCUGAAAAUACAGUCUGAAUAUACAAAAUCUAAAAAGGCGGUCUACUUUUGCAAAAGCUAAAAAAUAGUGGAUUAUUUAUGCAAAUUUUUAAUUAUGUUUGAAUAUUGUUUAUUUGAUUUUAGUGUAUAUUCUUUAUAGUGUUUGGAUGUUUAUAGUGGAAUAAAGUAUUGAAUUGAUAAAAGUUAAACAAAAUAACAAUUUUUCUCUUUCAAUUUUAUAAUUUAACAACUAAUUAAAAUCAAAUAUAAAUAUAUAACUUUAGAGUUAAGCUAGAAUACUCUCAAAAGCACUAAGAGGGUAGUGCUUUUGAGUUUUUAGUCAUUGGAUGGAGAGAUGUAAGGUUGGGAUGAUGGUGGUAGGUGGUGGUAGGUGGGUAAAAAUUUUAUGGACAUCAUGUCCAAAAAAAAUUUU
rnacentral:lncRNA from 1 species